GCUCAGAUUGAACGCUGGCGGCAGGCCUAACACAUGCAAGUCGAGCGGCAGCGGGAGGAAGCUUGCUUCCUCGCCGGCGAGCGGCGGACGGGUGAGUAAUGUCUGGGGAUCUGCCCGAUGGAGGGGGAUAACCACUGGAAACGGUGGCUAAUACCGCAUAACGUCGCAAGACCAAAGUGGGGGACCUUCGGGCCUCACACCAUCGGAUGAACCCAGAUGGGAUUAGCUAGUAGGUGGGGUAAUGGCUCACCUAGGCGACGAUCCCUAGCUGGUCUGAGAGGAUGACCAGCCACACUGGAACUGAGACACGGUCCAGACUCCUACGGGAGGCAGCAGUGGGGAAUAUUGCACAAUGGGCGCAAGCCUGAUGCAGCCAUGCCGCGCUGUUGUAAAGCACUUUCAGCGAGGAGGAAGGUGGUGAGCUUAAUACGUUCAUCAAUUGACGUUACUCGCAGAAGAAGCACCGGCUAACUCCGUGCCAGCAGCCGCGGUAAUACGGAGGGUGCAAGCGUUAAUCGGAAUUACUGGGCGUAAAGCGCACGCAGGCGGUUUGUUAAGUCAGAUGUGAAAUCCCCGAGCUUAACUUGGGAACUGCAUUUGAAACUGGCAAGCUAGAGUCUCGUAGAGGGGGGUAGAAUUCCAGGUGUAGCGGUGAAAUGCGUAGAGAUCUGGAGGAAUACCGGUGGCGAAGGCGGCCCCCUGGACGAAGACUGACGCUCAGGUGCGAAAGCGUGGGGAGCAAACAGGAUUAGAUACCCUGGUAGUCCACGCCGUAAACGAUGUCGAUUUGGAGGUUGUGCCCUUGAGGCGUGGCUUCCGGAGCUAACGCGUUAAAUCGACCGCCUGGGGAGUACGGCCGCAAGGUUAAAACUCAAAUGAAUUGACGGGGGCCCGCACAAGCGGUGGAGCAUGUGGUUUAAUUCGAUGCAACGCGAAGAACCUUACCUACUCUUGACAUCCAGAGAACUUAGCAGAGAUGCUUUGGUGCCUUCGGGAACUCUGAGACAGGUGCUGCAUGGCUGUCGUCAGCUCGUGUUGUGAAAUGUUGGGUUAAGUCCCGCAACGAGCGCAACCCUUAUCCUUUGUUGCCAGCGGUUAGGCCGGGAACUCAAAGGAGACUGCCAGUGAUAAACUGGAGGAAGGUGGGGAUGACGUCAAGUCAUCAUGGCCCUUACGAGUAGGGCUACACACGUGCUACAAUGGCGUAUACAAAGAGAAGCGAACCUGCGAAGGCAAGCGGACCUCAUAAAGUACGUCGUAGUCCGGAUUGGAGUCUGCAACUCGACUCCAUGAAGUCGGAAUCGCUAGUAAUCGUAGAUCAGAAUGCUACGGUGAAUACGUUCCCGGGCCUUGUACACACCGCCCGUCACACCAUGGGAGUGGGUUGCAAAAGAAGUAGGUAGCUUAACCUUCGGGAGGGCGCUUACCACUUUGUGAUUCAUGACUGGGGUGAAGUCGUAACAAGGUAACCGUAGGGGAACCUG
rnacentral:rRNA from 1 species